AUUGAACGCUGGCGGCAUGCCUUACACAUGCAAGUCGAACGGUAACAGGUUAAGCUGACGAGUGGCGAACGGGUGAGUAAUACAUCGGAACGUGCCCAGUAGUGGGGGAUAGCCCGGCGAAAGCCGGAUUAAUACCGCAUACGACCUAAGGGUGAAAGGGGGGGAUCGCAAGACCUCUCGCUAUUGGAGCGGCCGAUGUCAGAUUAGCUAGUUGGUGGGGUAAAAGCUCACCAAGGCGACGAUCUGUAGCUGGUCUGAGGGGACGACCAGCCACACUGGGACUGAGACACGGCCCAGACUCCUACGGGAGGCAGCAGUGGGGAAUUUUGGACAAUGGGCGCAAGCCUGAUCCAGCCAUGCCGCGUGCGGGAAGAAGGCCUUCGGGUUGUAAACCGCUUUUGUCAGGGAAGAAAUCCUUUGGGUUAAUACCUCGGGGGGAUGACGGUACCUGAAGAAUAAGCACCGGCUAACUACGUG
rnacentral:rRNA from 1 species